ensembl:lncRNA
CUUCUGCCGUGCACACUGAAUUCCGAGGGUUCAUGAAUACUUCAGCUAAAACAGAAUCAAGUUUCCAACACUCCCUAGGUCAGUCCCCUCCUCUUGGCAGCCUCUCUCUCUUUAACACCCCCUCCUAGGAAAGCAGAGAGGUUCGUUUGCUGGGUCCCUUCUGCCGUGCACACUGAAUUCCGAGGGUUCAUGAAUACUUCAGCUAAAACAGAAUCAAGUUUCCAACACUCCCGUGGGGCUCACGUUGUUAGUUGAAAAGCAGUGCAUUCCUGGACCGAUCAUACCAAGCCAGCACAGUUCUCACUUUGGGAGGUCUUUAUUGAAAGUUGGGAAGAAGCAAGGAAGAGAGGAGACAGCUCCUGCUUCCUGACCUGCUUGAGUUCCAGUCCUGACUUCCUUUGAUGAUGAACAGCAAUGUGGAAGUCACAUAUGAAGAAGCUGUAAAUACGCAGAGCAGAAUCUUAACAUCACCUGCCAUGGCUUCUCCCCUCUCUCCGUCUGUCUCCUCGCCAGCAGUCUUUAAAACAACUAGGUCUGGUGAAUUUAAGGAGUUGGUAGACCGAGGUCAGAGUCUGAAGCAGAAGGUGAAAUGACAGAGCUGGGGACCGAACCCAGGGCCUUGUGCUUGUUAGGCAAGUGCUCUACCACUGAGCUAAAUCCCCAACCCCUGUCUUUUUCUUUUUAACCCUCACUCCCUCCCUGGAGAACCGGUUGACUUAGUUGGCUUUGUCAAGCAAGCAUGUGAAAGGACACAGGACACAUGAUGAAGAAUUCUUGUCUAAUGACGUGAAUGUAUUAGUUGACCUUACAUUUGCGUAUUGAGCUCCAUUUGUUGGGACUCCAUAGAGAGAAAUGCAUCCAAAAACUUCUGGUGGUGUGCUGCAGUUUCUUGCCACUUCUGGGGACUCUGACUGAUUGGCAGAGUGAUGUCAGAUGAACACACAUGCUGAGGCAAGACCUUGGAGGACAGGUGAUGUUUGGAAAGAGUACAAAAGGACUCGAUGGACAGUGAUGGGGGUUGAGCUUGGCUUGCAACAGAGCUGGCUGUACAACACUUGUGGGGAGAUAAGCACAGCUGAGAACUUCUGGUCCCUCCUGAUGACUCGUGCUGAGGCUGAGGCCUGGCUGCCUGUGCUAGGUCAUGCCAUUGCUGCUAGUUCCUGUUUGCUAUCCUGACUACCGAACUGGAUUUCAGUGUAUCUGAAGUGUUCGCAAGAGGAUCAAGCUGCCACUGCUAACCUGUGAACUGAACCGUUCAUUUCCAGACAACACACGACUUUGGGGGUUUCUCCAAAGAACAGC